rnacentral:lncRNA from 1 species
AGAUUUUCAUCUUAACUUUAAUCUAACAAGUUUUUAUGCAAAUUUAAUCUAACAAGUUACUGGGUGCGUCAGCUAAUCACGUACAUGUGCUGGAAGCUGUAUACUUUAGGUCCCAAUGGGAACACUUCAUAGAUUUCUCUCUUCCUGGUUUCAGAGUUUAUAUAAAAGAUUGCAAGAACCAUGAAAGUAAGAUAUGUUGCAACUUAUGAGAUAUCCACGUUCCUUUUAUGCACUUACAGAUAUGUUGCAACUUAAAUUGAAUUUGACAAGUUACUGGGUGUGUGAACCAACCACGUACAUGUGCUGGUAGCUAGAUACUUUACAAACAAUUCAUUGAUUUCUCUCCUCAUCCUGGUUUGGGGCUUUAUAUAAACGAUUGCAAGAACCGUGAGUGUAAAAUGUCCAGGUUCCUUUUAUGCACUUGUAGAUAGGUUGAGAUGGUGGAAUGAGUAGCUAAUUUGCACCAUAGAUGAAUGGUAUCGUAGGAUACUAAUUAUUUGGCUUGGGAGGUAUUAGGACAAUCAUUUAUAGCGGGAAUGGACUCCUAUGUUGCUUCAUAUCAAAAUCAACAUAAAUGUCAAGAUCAUGCACAUGUCAUUGCUAUCAUUCCUGCGGGUGCGAGCCCUGCCUGGCCCGAAAAGGAUCGAUGUGUACCUCAUAGUGCAGGUGCCCUGCGUCAUGCAAGACCAACUGCCGCCAGCAGGAGGUGGCUUGCUUCUUCGGCUGCACCGAGUCUACCAAAGUCUGCGAGGACAGAUGCAGAGCGGGUGGCCACGAAUGAGGUUGUUGAACUAUGCCACAAAUGCAGACCACUGUGCAAGCUAGGCCUCGCUGGUUCUCUAGCCGGGAAACCUAACUGAGUGCUAGCAAGAGUUAUUUUUCUACCAUGUUGUUAGGCCCUCAUGUACUGCUCUUAUAUUCACCGCAUGUCGUUACUUUGAUAUUUGUUCCAUGCUUUCUGAUCUUUGCCGAAGUUUGUCCAGUUUCAAAGUAUUACUUGAUGAUUUGUUAAGUUCUUUUUUUAUGUUCCAAAAUGUAUCGAAUAUUUUGUUGUGCACUAACAGAACUACUAAGAAAGAAUUGCACUC